rnacentral:rRNA from 1 species
UACGGAGGGUGCGAGCGUUGUCCGGAAUCACUGGGCGUAAAGGGCGCGUAGGUGGCUCGUGAAGCGUGCGGUGAAAGUCCGAGGCUCAACCUCGGAUCGGCCGUGCGGACUCGCGGGCUGGGGCGUUGUAGAGGCGGGUGGAAUUCCGGGUGUAGCGGCGGAAUGCGUAGAGAUCCGGAAGAACACCGGUGGCGAAGGCGGCCCGCUGGGCAACUGCUGACACUGAGGCGCGACAGCGUGGGGAGCAAACAGG